ACUAGACAGCCACUUGUUCUCAAAUCACUUCUUCCCGGACUCCCAGACUCCUCCCAAAACCCUCGCAUCCUCUCCCACGCAUGUCACAAUCGCCAUGACCGACAGAAACCCCGCCGCCGCCUCAAGCAAGCGUCACUGUGACCUCUCCCUCGACGAUCCCACGCCGUCGGCCAAGCUCCAGCGGUGCUCCGAGCCGUCAGAACCAACGCCGGCGGGGAAACCGAACGGCGGCGCGGCGACGGGAGAGGAGAGCGAGAUGAUGGCCGGCGCACGGAACCCUAGGGCGCAGAGGUACCUGGUCGCCGUGGAGUACAUUGGCACCCGCUUCUCCGGCUCACAGAAGCAGCCCAACCAGCGCACCGUCACUGGGGUCCUCGAGGAGGCAUUUCACCGAUUUAUUGGGCAGCCAGUUUCAAUAAUCUUUUCUAGCCGAACGGAUGCAGGUGUUCAUGCUUUAUCAAAUGUUUGUCAUGUUGAUGUUGAGCGGAUAAGUAAAAGGAAGCCUGGCGAAGUUUUAACACCUCAUGAGCCUGGAGUUGUAAAACGUGCUGUGAACCACUUUCUACUGAAGAGUGAAGGUGACAUAAUGGUGACUGAUGUCUGCUGUGUUGCACCAGAUUUUCAUGCUAGAUACAAAUCUCUAGAGCGCACAUAUCACUAUCGCUUGCUUGCUGGACCUGAAUCAACAUCUGUUUUUGAGAAAAACUCUGUUUGGCAUAUAUCUGAAGAUUUGGAUAUUCAGUCAAUGAAGAAAGCAUGCAGCAUACUUGUUGGGCAUCAUGAUUUCAGUUCAUUUCGAGCGGCUGGAUGUCAGGCAAACUCUCCAGUGCGAACUCUGGAUGAACUUAGUGUUACAGAAGUAUUCCCUUUCAUGUUUUUUCCUUCAAGUGUAGAAAGAUCAGAGUUGGAAUUAUCAAAUGUCUCUCUUGUUUAUUCAAGGAAACCAGACAUGGAAUCUUCUGGGAAAGGAUCUGAUGGUUCCUGUACCAGUAGUGUGAAAUCAGAUUUUGAGAAUGGAAAAGAUUUUGGAAAGCGGUCAAGGCACCGUUGCUUUGUUGUUACUGCAAGGGCACGGUCUUUUCUUUACCACCAGGUAAGGUUGAUGGUCGGUCUUCUAAAAUCUGUUGGGACUGGAGAUCUAACAACUGCAGAUGUUGAGAGAAUUCUGGAUGCAAAGACGGUUACUGCUGCACCCAGUAUGGCACCUUCUUGUGGUCUGUACCUUGCUAACGUUAAAUAUGAUCUGAAUACCUGAAGACAAGUUUUAUCUAGUGGCUUCUGUUGGUGGGCCUCCAGAUUUUGUCAGCUGUUGGCUAUCAAAGGUAUACCUGAAUCCAAUCUAUGAAUAGUGCACCUCAGUGAGUGCAACUUUGAAGUAUCUGUACCAGGAAUUAUAUGCUGCCACUUGCCAAAGCUUUCAGUUGCCUGUUUUGUCCACUGAAUCUUGCAUGGUGAUUGAAAACCUAGAAUUAAGUUUAUCUGUCAGCACAAGAGCCGGCUUCAUUCUCUUCUUGUACACAGAGCUCUUCUGCAUGUUCAGAAACAAAAUAGGUAGCUUCAUUUUAGUUAAGUUCAACUAUCCACUCUUUAAAUUUCAGCUGGAUCCACCCGAUUUUGUUGGGUGUACGUAGAUUUGACCUGGUAGGGGCAAAAUUUUAUUUCUUGGUUUUCUCAUGACUGUACUUGGUUCUUGAUAUAUAAUUAAUUAGCCAAAUGCGUUGUGUGCAUAUUGAAAAUAUUCUUUUCUGUUCCUUGAUAAAUUA